rnacentral:rRNA from 1 species
CCUACGGGGGGCUGCAGUGGGGAAUAUUGCACAAUGGGCGCAAGCCUGAUGCAGCCAUGCCGCGUGUGUGAAGAAGGCCUUCGGGUUGUAAAGCACUUUCAGCGGGGAGGAAGGCGUUAAGGUUAAUAACCUUGUCGAUUGACGUUACCCGCAGAAGAAGCACCGGCUAACUCCGUGCCAGCAGCCGCGGUAAUACGGAGGGUGCAAGCGUUAAUCGGAAUUACUGGGCGUAAAGCGCACGCAGGCGGUCUGUCUAGUCGGAUGUGAAAUCCCCGGGCUCAACCUGGGAACUGCAUUCGAAACUGGCAGGCUAGAGUCUUGUAGAGGGGGGUAGAAUUCCAGGUGUAGCGGUGAAAUGCGUAGAGAUCUGGAGGAAUACCGGUGGCGAAGGCGGCCCCCUGGACAAAGACUGACGCUCAGGUGCGAAAGCGUGGGGAGCAAACAGGAGUAGAUACCCGAGUAGUC